AGCAGCGUGGCCUAGUGGAAAGAGCACGGGCCUGGGAGUCAGAGGACCUAGGUUCUAAUCCUGGCUCUGCCA
rnacentral:tRNA from 1 species